CUUCUUCCGACAGCUUGCUGCCCUAGACCAGAGUUGGUGGCUGGACCUCCUGCGACUUCCGAGUUGCGAUGCUGUACUUCUCUUUGUUUCGGGCGGCUCGGCCUCUGCAGAGAUGUGGGCAGCUGGUCAGGAUGGCCAUUCGGGCUCAGCACAGCAACGCAGCCCAGACUCAGACUGGGGAAGCAAACAGGGGCUGGACAGGCCAGGAGAGCCUGUCGGACAGUGAUCCUGAGAUGUGGGAGUUGCUGCAGAGGGAGAAGGACAGGCAGUGUCGUGGCCUGGAGCUCAUUGCCUCAGAGGUGGGACCUGGGGAGAUGGGCAGGGGUUGGGCCACCAUGGGUACAGGAAGUAACAAAGUUAUCUUAACUGAUAUUUCUCCAAAACCCCCUUUCACACUCAGGACCUUUCUUUGGGCUUUAUCUUCCUUUCUUAUCUCCCUCAAGCAAAGGCAGUGCAAGUCCAGUUUAUGGGGUUGGGACAUUUAGGGAGCCUCCAGGGUCCCUACAGUUUCAUCUGAUCCCUUCCUUCCUUCCUCCUAUGAGGAAGGAGGAGCCUAGAAGCACAAGUUUGAGUGGGUAGGUGGCAUUGAGGGGCCACUGCUCAUGGCAGAUGGGUUUCUGAGAAUGCUGCCUCUGGCUUUGCCCCAGGCCUGGUGCUGAGUGAAUGGAGCUUUCUGCAGGGAGUACUCCCGCUUUCAGCUCUGGCUCUGGCAGGGAGGGACUGUGGGAGUCCAGGGGAAGGGGCUCAAUACCUUCUGACAUUGCCCCCCACCACCCCAGAACUUCUGCAGCCGAGCUGCGCUGGAGGCCCUGGGGUCCUGUCUGAACAACAAGUACUCGGAGGGUUAUCCUGGCAAGAGGUGAGGGCUGGAGGGCAGUGUCAGGGAUGGUGCUCCCAGUGGGGGAACCCACCUGUACCUUCCCAGUGUUCAUUGAGGAGUGAACUUCCCAGUCCUUUGCUGAUGGUUGAGAGUCCUUUCUCUGUGCCCUCAUUACCCCUCUCCCACGGCAGAUACUAUGGGGGAGCAGAGGUGGUGGAUGAAAUUGAGCUUCUGUGCCAGCACCGGGCCUUGGAAGCCUUUGACCUGGAUCCUGCACAGUGGGGAGUCAAUGUCCAGCCCUACUCCGGGUCCCCAGCCAACCUGGCCGUCUACACAGCCCUUCUGCAACCUCACGACCGGAUCAUGGGGCUGGACCUGCCCGAUGGGGGCCAUCUUACCCACGGCUACAUGUCUGACGUCAAGCGGAUAUCAGCCACGUCCAUCUUCUUCGAGUCUAUGCCCUAUAAGCUCAACGUGAGUGCUCUAGGGUGUGGGGAGGGGCUCUUGGCCCUGGUGGUGGUCCUCCCCUGGAGAAGCUGAGGGACUGGAGCACUGGGCCAUCCUUAGGGUUAAGGAGGAGAGUGAGCUGCCCUGCUUCCUUCUCAGGGCUUUAGCUGUUUGUGUGUCUGUCCAGCCCAAAACUGGCCUCAUUGACUAUGACCAGCUGGCACUGACUGCUCGACUUUUCCGGCCACGGCUCAUCAUAGCUGGCACCAGCGCCUAUGCUCGCCUCAUUGACUACGCCCGCAUGAGAGAGGUGUGUGAUGAAGUCAAAGCACACCUGCUGGCAGACAUGGCCCACAUCAGUGGCCUGGUGGCUGCCAAGGUGAUUCCCUCGCCUUUCAAGCACGCGGACAUCGUCACCACCACUACUCACAAGACUCUUCGAGGGGCCAGGUCAGGCUCCCUGAGGUCGGGCCUUGCCUUUCCCUGCCUUCAGGCCUAUUCCUGGGGCACUGUUGGCCUGGACCUGAGAGGAAUUCAUUCCCACCUGCAGCCCUUAAGACUCCUGCCCAGUCUGUGACAGUUCUCCUUCUCUUGCCCAUGGUGGCCAUGCCCUGGCAGGGGAUUUGUGGAUGGGAUUGAGGGGCUGAUUCCCUCUACCACUGGAAUCCAGUGUACCAAGCCCACGUGAGGUGUGCCCUUGGGGCCCAGGUCCGCCAGCUUCCUCUGCCUUCUCUGUCCCUUGUCCUUCUUUUCAGCUUAGACUCUGACCAUCCACCUCUCACACAGGUCAGGGCUCAUCUUCUACCGGAAAGGGGUGAAGGCUGUGGACCCCAAGACUGGCCGGGAGAUCCCUUACACAUUUGAGGACCGAAUCAACUUUGCCGUGUUCCCAUCCCUACAGGGGGGCCCCCACAAUCAUGCCAUUGCUGCAGUAGCUGUGGCCCUAAAGCAGGUUGGGGAUCCUGUCUUUGUAGGGUGUAGGGGGGCAAUGGCCUGGAGGCUUAGACCCUGCACCUUGCUAACUGAUGCUGGGGCUGAUGGAAGGGAAAUGCCAGGAUGGAAGGGGUCAAGGCUGGGGUCACAGAGCUAUGCUGAGGGUGCAGGGCCAGAGGGUAGUGCAGGGCUUGGGUCCAGGCCUAGGGUCACAGCUGCUACUGUCUCAUCUCCAGGCCUGCACCCCCAUGUUCCGGGAGUACUCCCUGCAGGUUCUGAAGAAUGCUCGGGCCAUGGCAGAUGCCCUGCUAGAGCGAGGCUACUCACUGGUAUCAGGUGGUACUGACAACCACCUGGUGCUGGUGGACCUGCGGCCCAAGGGCCUGGAUGGAGCUCGGGCUGAGCGGGUGCUAGAGCUUGUAUCCAUCACUGCCAACAAGAACACCUGUCCUGGAGACCGAAGUGCCAUCACACCGGGCGGCCUGCGGCUUGGGGCCCCAGCCUUAACUUCUCGACAGUUCCGUGAGGAUGACUUCCGGAGAGUUGUGGACUUUAUAGAUGAAGGGGUCAACAUUGGCUUAGAGGUGAAGAGCAAGACUGGUGAGUGAGCAAGAAGGAGCCCCGGGCCAGCCAGUUCCCACUCACUGUCUGCUCCCUCCCCCAGCUGAUCUCACUGCCUUCCCUAGAGCUCUGACCACUUGUUUCCUCACCCUCUCUCUCUAGCCAAGCUCCAGGAUUUCAAAUCCUUCCUGCUUAAGGACUCAGAAACAAGUCAGCGUCUGGCCAACCUCAGGCAACGGGUGGAGCAGUUUGCCAGGGCCUUCCCCAUGCCUGGUUUUGAUGAGCAUUGAAGGCACCUGGGAAAUGAGGCCCACAGACUCAAAGUUACUCUCCUUCCCCCUACCUGGGCCAGUGAAAUAGAAAGCCUUUCUAUUUUUUGGUGCGGGACGGAAGACCUCUCACUUAGGGCAAGAGCCAGGUAUAGUCUCCCUUCCCAGAAUUUGUAACUGAGAAGAUCUUUUCUUUUUCCUUUUUUUGGUAACAAGACUUAGAAGGAGGGCCCAGGCACUUUCUGUUUGAACCCCUGUCAUGAUCACAGUGUCAGAGACGUGUCCUCUUUCUUGGGGAAGUUGAGGAGUGCCCUUCAGAGCCAGUAGCAGGCAGGGGUGGGUAGGCACCCUCCUUCCUGUUUUUAUCUAAUAAAAUGCUAACCUGC
rnacentral:sRNA from 1 species